rnacentral:rRNA from 1 species
UACGUAGGGAGCAAGCGUUGUCCGGAAUUAUUGGGCGUAAAGAGCUCGUAGGCGGUUUGUCGCGUCUGCUGUGAAAACUGGAGGCUCAACCUCCAGCCUGCAGUGGGUACGGGCAGACUAGAGUGCGGUAGGGGAGAUUGGAAUUCCUGGUGUAGCGGUGGAAUGCGCAGAUAUCAGGAGGAACACCGAUGGCGAAGGCAGAUCUCUGGGCCGUAACUGACGCUGAGGAGCGAAAGCAUGGGGAGCGAACAGG